rnacentral:misc_RNA from 1 species
ACAAACUUGGUCAUUUAGAGGAAGUAAAAGUCGUAACAAGGUUUCCGUCUAAGUGCGAGAAUGUUGAUUCUUCCGCAGUGACACUUAUCGAAGCCGUUGUGGCCUCGCAAGAGGUAUCCUCACGACUCUAAACAAUGCUGGAUCACACAAGUAACUUUCUAGUUGCAACAUAAUUGAAUUGCGGGGACAUCCUAAAACCUUGGGGUACCAACCUAGUUUAGAAAUAUUCUGGGGGCCUAUGCUAGCAUCAUUACAGAGUUCAUGCCCUCACGGGUAGACCUCCCACCCUUGUGUAUUAUUACUUUGUUGCUUUGGCGGAUAGCUUCACCUCUCAGAGGUGGAGUCUCAGCUCUUCGGAGACUAGAGAUACCCCGUCCGCCAAAGGAUAACCAAACUCUUAUUUAUUAGUGUCGUCUGAGUACUAUAUUAAUAGUUAAAACUUUCAACAACGGAUCUCUUGGUUCUGGCAUCGAUGAAGAACGCAGC